UACGUAGGGGGCUAGCGUUGUCCGGAAUUAUUGGGCGUAAAGAGCGUGUAGGCGGUCCGGUAAGUCGGCUGUGAAAGUCCAGGGCUCAACCCUGGGAUGCCGGUCGAUACUGCCGGACUAGAGUUCGGAAGAGGCGAGUGGAAUUCCCGGGUGUAGCGGUGAAAUGCGCAGAUAUCGGGAGGAACACCUAUGGCGAAGGCAGCUCGCUGGGACGUUACUGACGCUGAGACGCGAAAGCGUGGGGAGCAAACAGG
rnacentral:rRNA from 1 species